GACGAACGCUGGCGGCGUGCUUAACACAUGCGAGUCGAACGGAAAGGCCCUGCUUUUGUGGGGUGCUCGAGUGGCGAACGGGUGAGUAACACGUGAGUAACCUGCCCUUGACUUUGUGAUAACUUCAGGAAACUGGGGCUAAUACCGGAUAGGAGCUCCUGCUGCAUGGUGGGGGUUGGAAAGUUUCGGCGGUUGGGGCUGGACUCGCGGCUUAUCAGCUUGUUGGUGGGGUAGUGGCUUACCAAGGCUUUGACGGGUAGCCGGCCUGAGAGGGUGACCGGCCACAUUGGGACUGAGAUACGGACCAGACUGCUACGGGAGGCAGCAGUGGGGAAUAUUGCACAAUGGGCGGAAGCCUGAUGCAGCAACGCCGCGUGCGGGAUGACGGCCUUCGGGUUGUAAACCGCUUUCGCCUGUGACGAAGCGUGAGUGACGGUAAUGGGUAAAGAAGCACCGGCUAACUACGUG
rnacentral:rRNA from 1 species